AGUAACGCGUGGGUAACCUGCCCUGUACAGGGGGAGUAACAGUCAGAAAUGACUGCUAAUACCGCAUAAGACCACAGCACCGCAUGGUGCAGGGGUAAAAACUACCGGUGGUGCAGGAUGGACCCGCGUCUGAUUAGCUGGUUGGUGAGGUAACGGCUCACCAAGGCGACGAUCAGUAGCCGGCUUGAGAGAGUGAACGGCCACGUUGGGACUGAGACACGGCCCAGACUCCUACGGGAGGCAGCAUG
rnacentral:rRNA from 1 species